rnacentral:rRNA from 1 species
AUUGAACGCUGGCGGCAUGCCUUACACAUGCAAGUCGAACGGCAGCACGGGGCAACCUGGUGGCGAGUGGCGAACGGGUGAGUAAUGCAUCGGAACGUGCCAUUGAGUGGGGGAUAACGUAGCGAAAGUUGCGCUAAUACCGCAUAUUCUGUGCGCAGGAAAGCAGGGGACCGCAAGGCCUUGCGCUCUUUGAGCGGCCGAUGUCAGAUUAGCUAGUUGGUGAGGUAACGGCUUACCAAGGCGACGAUCUGUAGCGGGUCUGAGAGGAUGAUCCGCCACACUGGAACUGAGACACGGUCCAGACUCCUACGGGAGGCAGCAGUGGGGAAUUUUGGACAAUGGGCGCAAGCCUGAUCCAGCCAUGCCGCGUGAGUGAAGAAGGCCU